GCCGCGGAGGGGGUGGGAGGGCGCGAGCUCCAGCUCCUCGCCCCGCCUCUCGCUUCCUCUUCCCGCUCCUCUUUCCUGCGUUUUGCUUCCUCUUCCCGCUCCGGGCACACUCUGCUCCGCCUGCAGAGUAUAAGAGGUGCGGCUGACAGGAGCAGAUUCCUAGAAAAUAGCUUGUUGGAUCAAGUGACAGCAAGAGACAAGGUGACAUGAGAGAUUUGGCUGUGUCCUGCACUGACGAGCUUACUGGUAGAAUUAAUUCCUAAAGAGACCGAAGUAGGUUUCCAGAUGGCGAAAGAGGAGCCCCCGAGUAUUUCCAAAGACUUGCAGGAGCUGCAGAGGAAGCUGUCUUUGCUGAUAGACUCUGUCCAGAAUAACUCAAAGGUGGUUGCCUUGAUGAAGUCUCCGGUGGGUCAGUACCUGGACAAGCAUCCUUUUCUGACCCUCACCUUGCUGGUGUUUGUUGCUGUGUCAGCCGUUCCUGUUGGCUUCUUCAUACUCCUCGUGGUACUUACCUCCCUGGCUGCUUUUGUGGGAGUCAUAUUACUGGAAGGCCUGGUCAUCUCUGUGGGCGGCCUCUCACUGCUUUGUGUCCUCUGUGGCUUGGGCUUCGUGUCACUCAUCAUAUCAGGGAUAAUCACCGUGUCCUACGUGGUGGUCUCCAGCCUUGUCAACUACUGGUUUUCUCCCAGGGGUUGGGGAUCAACAGGAAAACAAUGAACUGUUAUCUUACCCAGCAAGCAUGUGCCCCAGGUGGUACAGGAGCUGAAUCUGCUCUUCUCACAGCCUGUCUUGAUCCCCUCCGCCCUUCAGAGUGUGUGUCUCACCACUCUGAGUGUGAACCUCAUGGUUGAAUGUACUUCAUGGCUCCUAAAUUCCUCCUGCUUCAUCUGGGGCUUCCACUGAAGGGACAGUAAUCUAUUUAAAUGCUGGAGAGAAAACUAGCUGUGUCGAAAUACUAGUAUAUCUGUCUAUAAUGAAGAGAUUAUCAGAGGUGAUUUUUUUUGGAUGCUCAACUUUUGUCCUUUUGUACUUGUUGACUUUAGAAUCUAAGUCCCAAGUGGGGUGUGACUUCAUUAUGCUUCAUUUAAGCUCUUGCUGAAUUGAUGACAGUGGCUAAUACCCAUCAAGCACUUGCUUUGUGCCAGGGGCUUCUUAUGCCCUUUCCAGGCCUCAGCUCAUGUACUGUGCACACCCUGGGAGGCAGGUACUAAGCCCAUUCUGUGAUAAGGAAAAGGAAGCCAAGUUCCAAAUCAAGAGAGUGGCAGAUAAGGGAGUUAUUAAAGGUCAGUUAACUCCAAUCCCUCUUAACCAAGAUACAAACUGACUCUAAAACAGGGAUCAGAAACACUUUCUGUAAAGGUAAAUAUUUUAGGUUUUGCAGGCGAUGUGGUCUCCUUGUCCUCACUCAGCUCUGCUGCUGUUAGCCCGAAAGCAACAUAGAUGCUAAGCAAACAAACAAGUGUGGCUGGGUUCCAAUAAAACUUUAUUUACAAAAGCAGGCAGCAGCCUGGAUUUGGCCCUAGGGCCAUGGUUUGCCAACCCUUGCUUUAAAAGAACCUCUGUCCUGAAUUUGGUUUUUCCACAAAAUAGCUCUUGAACUUUUUUACCUCAAAUGAUUAUCCUCUUGUUACUCAUAUGCUGAAAAACAAAAUAUGAAGUGGGUAUAACUUAAAAUUGCUCAGGAGUAGCUCUUAUAGGAUUGCUUCUUUGAUACCCUUGGUGUUACAGUCCUUGGAGCUUCUUAUAAGUUGUCUUGAUCACUGUCCAUCUUAAAGGAGAAAUAUUGGCUGAUUUUUUUUUCUUAUUCAAUAUUUUAUUAUAUUCACCAUCUGCCUAUUCUUGCAGCAGUAUAUCAGCAAUAAAUACUGAAGUUUAAAUAACUGGCGGAGUCCUCCCUAAUAUUCUGUAUUAGGGUCUUCCUGGUUAUUCUUGCAUAUUUUUAUUUUUCUAAAUUUUAAAACUGUUUUCCCAAGUUUCAAAAGAAUUCUAUUAGAAUUGUAUUGGGCUGUAAUCAAUUUAUAGGUUGCUUUUAGGAAAAACUGUCAUCUUUAUAAUAUGUGUCUUUCAGGCCAGUAGUAUGACAGCCUUUCUAUUUAUGUAAGUCUUCUUUCUCCCUGGGCAUUGUUUCUUAGUGACCAGAACUAGUUUUUUUUUUCUCAAG